UACGAAACUUCAAUUCGUUUUCCAUCAGUGGCAGAGAGAAUCACAUCAAUGCAAGACCUGAGUGUGACCAGCUCUUGAUGUGGAUUGUACCAGUGUGGACUACUAACCGUGUCCUGAUAACACCGGUACUAUGAAACAGUACAUGUCAAGAGCUGGUCAUCUCGUCUUCGUCAGGAUCUUCAAGUACCAGGCUUCCAUGGGCGACGCUAACCGCUUACCAUCAGGCGAUCCGUCACUGUAACCACCUAGAAGAUGCUAAUAUUAAAAUUAUAGAAUCUAUAAUCGGAUACAAUGGGCAGCCGUCAACGUCCAAUUUGGUGCCAAAAUAGUAUCUUCUUGAAUCCUUAAUCUUAGUUUCUCUUUAGAAAAAUAACAUGGCCUCAUUAUUAUUAUCGUUGUGGCACACAGCAGCUCUUUUUCACCGGCAUCGCUCCCGCCAACAAUACACAAUGGAGAAUAGCUUCCACUGAUAUGCAGAAAAAGAGUUGCAAUAAAUAGACUUACUGUAAUACAACGCAUGCUGACCAAUAUACGUCUGAAGUAGUUGAA